rnacentral:rRNA from 1 species
AUUGAACGCUGGCGGCAGGCCUAACACAUGCAAGUCGAACGAGUGGCGGACGGGUGAGUAAUGUCUGGGAAACUGCCUGAUGGAGGGGGAUAACUACUGGAAACGGUAGCUAAUACCGCAUACCAUCGGAUGUGCCCAGCUGGGCUUAGCUAGUAGGUGGGGUAAAGGCUCAACUAGGCGACGAUCCCUCGCUGGUCUGAGAGGAUGACCAGCCACACGGGAACGGAUACACGGUCCAGACUCCUACGGGAGGCAGCAGUGGGGAAUAUUGCACAAUGGGCGCAAGCCUGAUUCAGCCAUGCCGCGUGUAUGAAGAAGGCCUUCGGGUUGUAAAGUACUUUCAGCGGGGAGGCGGUACCCGCAGAAGAAGCACCGGCUAACUCCGUGCCAGCAGCCGCGGUAAUAC